GGUAGCGUGGCCGAGUGGUCUAAGGCGCUGGGUUUUAGGUACCAGUCCUUUUUAGGGCGUGGGUUCGAAUCCCACCUCUGCCA